CCAUGCUCCGUGUCUGUUGUCAAUCUAUGACAUCAAUUUUACCUAAACCCAAGGAAACGAGUCUUAGAUAAAACAUUGUGCGGAUGUUCUGAGAGCAUUUCUGCUGCAUGGAUCUGUUUGAGUGCUAGCUGGGAGGAGACCUCACAUCCAGCUACUGGCUCCAACAACACAUGCCAUUUUGUUUCUUCACACUUGAAAUACCAAUGGAUAAGUCUGGGACUUAGAAAGUCUUGAUUUGUACCCGACCCAGGAAAUGAAGGCUCAGUGGAUCACAAUGUUUGGGGUUGCUUCACAUUCAAGCAGAUGCAUCCUGGUCUUGCUGGAUGACGUUCAUUGGGAUCAUUUCAGCACUCUCCUCGCCUUCGUUGUUGCUUACUGGAGGAUUCCUUGGUUCCUGAUGGCAGAUGUAAAUGGGGAGGCCAUCUGGCUCAGCAAAGGCUACAGCCCGAGGAGCACUAACCACGCGGUUGGUAGGGCGGCGGCGCCUUCCCCAGCGCUGGCUCCACUGGAUCUUGAACUGCGUCCACUGGCGCUUCAGGGUGGCUUGCACCUGCAAGAGUAAAGAAAGCUUGUUUCCAAAGACCGUUGGUUGUGACCCCAGUAAACCUUAUGUACAUGACCCUUGGGGCAUAUCAGAGGUGAAAGGAGACUACAUUGUAGAUCUGAUCUAAGAACUAAGUUUAUACUAAGGCUAAGAAAUAUACCUCCUUGGAAUAUCAAUAUGCCAGUCAAGGUAGCGAGUUACUUGUCUGUGUAACAACCAGCAAACAAGUCAUUUGCCAUUUUUGAGCAAAGCUUUCUGUCUCAGCUCUCAUAAGCUUUCGAGAGAAGGUUGGUUCGUUUCAUAAUGUAGCAGAUAUGUCUCAGUAGAAAGACUUAAGAAAAAUUACCUGUUGCCUUUCAUGCUAAGGACAUGAUUUGACCAAAAUCUGAGCUUGUGUAUCAUAAAAAUAUAUUCAUAAA